GGCGGCAUGGCCAAGCGGUAAGGAAGGGGACUGCAAAUCCUUUAUCCCCAGUUCAAAUCUGGGUGCCGCCU
rnacentral:tRNA from 1 species